ncrna:unclassified sequences engA RNA
GCCCUAACUGUAUGCAGGGCAUACUCUCGCCAUCGAAUGGCGAGGGCCGAAGAAUGUUAAACUUCAGUAAUUAAACAG